UCUAAAAGGUCAUCAUUAGCAUUCACGGCCAAGGAGAGAUGCGAGGGUCUCAUCGACCUUUAAAAACCACAUCACCUGAGUUUCCCUUCCCUCCACGCUGCUCUGCUAUCUGCCUCUAUCAGGGCCGCCCCGCUGUGAUCGUAAGGCUAUAGGUAGCAUGAAUCAAAGCAGAGCGCAAAAGACGCUGCGCUCUGUAGUCACAGCACAGGGCCCUUAAGGGAGGACCGACUGCGGUGUGAGAAACUUUGUUCCUCCCCUUAGGAAAGUAAAGUGUGACUAAGACGUGCCUUGAAUUCAUUAUUUUUUUGACGGUGUCCUGUAGAGAUACGAUGGCUAGGUAUAUUACAGGGUUCUAGGUAUAUUACAGGGUUCUAGGUAUAUUACAGGGUUCUAGGUAUAUUACAGGGCUCUAGGUACAGUACAGGGUUCUAGGUAUAUUACAGGGCUCUAGGUACAGUACAGGGCUCUAGGUACAGUACAGGGUUCUAGG